CUUGAAUCAGUGUAAGUGCACUGGGAAGACAAGAGGACCCACAUCCUUAGCCCUACCUUUAAGGGGAUGACAGUUAAUUCAGGGUUUUAUAGAAAGGGGAACGAAGGCCAGACAUGGUGGCUCAUGCCUAUAAUCCCAAUGAUUCAAUAGACUAAGGCAAGAGGAUCACAAGUUCUAGGCCAGCCUGGGCAAAUGUUGUAAGACUCUGUCUCAAAAAAUAAAAAGUGCUGGGGGUGUAGCUCAGUGGUAUGGCACCCUACUAACAAAAAAAGAAAAAAAAGGGCAAGAAAGUGGGGUUUGUAUAGCUAGAGGGUUUGCACAUCUGACAAAGAAGGUUCGUCUUAUUACCAGAGCCCUAGGAGAGAUACCUGACUCCAGGAAUUCCAAGAUCCAAAAACCAAACAGAAAAGGUAAUGAUAAAAAAAAAAAAAAGAAAGAAAGAAAGAAAGAAACUUUAAUCAAAUGACCAUAUUGGGAAGGCAGAGUCACAUGCUUCCUGAUGCUCACAUGAACUUUAGGUUUAAACAGAGGAAGAAUUGGGCAAGGGCAAGAGUUAUACAUAUUCAAGCAGCCUUAGUUAAACUAUGGUCUGGUUAUUUUAUUUCUGGUUCUAUGAGGUGGCUCCGACUAAGUCCUUGUCACUUGAGGAAGCCAUCUCCAUUUGCUGCUCAGGAUAUUUAUCUAUUAAGUGAUCCUGGAAGGAAGCAAUUUGGUGCCCAUGAGACAAUUGUUCCUGCUUAGGGGAGGGCAGUUACAUUAUAGGGUGACUUGCCUGUAGGGAUCUACUUUACCUGGAAAGUGUAGGGAAAUGACUGGAAUCUUCUAGGCACUCCUCUAGGGUCCUAAAAGAGGGUAUCCCCACAAAUCUUACCUCAGUCUUGAAGGGGGAUGAGAUAGAUUAGGUAAAUUUAGGGCUAUUACUAG
rnacentral:lncRNA from 1 species